CACCCAGGACGGUGGAUCACUCGGCUCGUGGGUCGAUGAAGAACGCAGCAAAUUGCGCGUCAACAUGUGAAACAUCGACGUUACGAACGCACAUUGCGGUCCAUGGAUUCCGUUCCCGGGCCACGUCUGGCUGAGGGUCG
rnacentral:rRNA from 1 species